CCAUCCUUUUUAUCUCGUUCCAGGGCCCCACGCAGGAAUUCCAGGGACACAUCCUCAUUCUCAUCUAACCACUGUAGCACAAACUGCUCAAACCACCUGCAGCCAGAGAAGGAGGUUGAAGCUAGUGAUUGGCAUAUGCUAUAUGCUUGACAGUGUACCAGACUGGGAUCUUCUGGAAGGCAAGACUUUCUACAGAAGUGCCUUGAACGGGCAGUCCUGAGAUUAGCUGCUGAGAGCUCCUCCUUCUUUUAGAUCCAUCUUGACAGACUGAGGUGCUACACUAACUUAUACAGACAGGAAAGGCAAAUAAGAAGAUAAGCAUGGAUGGUACAUAUGUGAAGGUCUGACACAGAUAGGGAGUAACAUCUUUGUGGACCAACAAGAGAAAUGGAAAAAGAAUAAGCUGGAUGAACAAGAUGAAUAAUAACACAUCUGUGGGCAUGCUCUACAAGGGGAGUGAGGGAAGAAGUGUCUUUCUGGCUUUGUCACAGUAAUCCAGAACAGCUUUUAAGGGAAGCCAGCCCUGUCAGUCCCAAAUAUGAGAAAAUAAAGAUUUCUAUCUUUGUA